rnacentral:lncRNA from 1 species
UCAAAGAAAGAAACAGGUACAGAAGGACCUUGUUUGUCAGGAGGCUAUAUGGUAUUCUCUUUUUUUUUUUUUUUUGGUAUUCUUGUAUAGGUGGGUGGGGCAGAUCUUGGGCUUAGAUGUUGACUAACAAAAGGCCCAAGAGUCUGAAAGGGAGGGAAGGGGGUAGCAGGUAAAUUCUGAGAGCUGAGAGAUUUAGCAGCUUGGUGCAGUUCCCCCAUCAAGAUGAUCCCACAGUCUCCUGUGGGGGGUCCUGCUGAGCUUGGCUUGUACAAAAGCAAGCAGUAGUUUAUUUUUGUACCUGAGUCACAUCACGUUCUCCUGUGGGCCAGUAUUGUGGAGCGAGUCUGAGUUGUUUACACUGAUGCCUUCCUUCCCUGCCCACCACAAAUUGUGUACAUAGUCAACAGAUGAAACCCCUCCUCUUCUCCAGCUCCUACCCAAGAGCUGGCUCUAGGCCUGUGUUAUAUGUUAUAUUUAGCCUUUUUAUAUAUGACCCUUGAUCUGUUUGUAUUUGAACACUGUGUGUGUCCACUUUAAUACAUUUGUGCAGACAUGCACAUUACAUACGUGUAUAUGCCUGUCUCUCAUCUAGAUUAUCAAGGGAGAGGGAACCUUGCAGCCAAGAAUGACUCUGUGGAUAGUGUGUGCCACAAGUGUUAUUCUUCUCUGUUAACCUUAGGGAUACAACGGGAAGCAGAGCUUCUAGUGUUUGCUGUUUCAUGGCAGCUAAGUGGGGGCCUUGGGUGACUCCCUUGUGCUCUUUAAGCCACACUUCGGGGCCCUCUCUACAGUAUUAGAUUCUUUUUUGCCUGAUUAUGCUCUGUCUGCACCUGUGUAUGUGUGACAGUCACUUUUGCAUGGCUUCUGUGCCUGGCUUGUGGCAUUUAGGGACAGGGUGCUGGAACCACAGUGUUUAGUUUGUCAGAACUUGUUGGCCAACCAUAAGUCACUGUCACCUGCUGUGUCUACACUGUUGCCCCUUUUCUUGCUUUUUUCCUGAGAGACUUUAGCUAGGCCCAGACUAGAUGAGUUGCAGGUGACCUUCUCUUCCCAGCUCGGCAGCUUUAGAGUAGAACAAACGGCCAUCAAACAUUGAUGCAAGCACUAUCCCUGCAGAUCCAGAAAUCAAGACUCAACAGGUUGUGAUUUGCCCAAGAGUACCCAGCUGCUAGCGUGCUCAGACCAUCACUGCUUCUGUUCAGUCGCAGAUAGCCGUCCAGUCACCAAUGCUUUUGACUUGUUCCAACUGAAAAGUUGGACUGUCACUGAAGUCUGUUAAGUAUUGCUGAACAAUCCUGCUAUAAAAUUCUGCCUUCCCAGAAUGGACCGACAGAAGGAGCCAGGCAAUCAGCUCCAUGUUUGAAAGAACUGUUGAAGGCAAAUGUCUGUAAUCGUAGAUUAAUAUGGCAGCUUGCCUGAACUGAACGCAGGAAAACUGUCUUGAGUGUCCAGGGGUUGAAGCAUCACACUCUUAGAAGACAUACCGCCUCACGGUCUCUGCUGGGCCCUGAGGCCACAGACCUGAGUUAUGUUCCGAAUUGGUAGGAAAAGGUGCAGCUGGAGUUUAUAUGGUCACAGGGUAAUAAGAAAGAGGGAGAAAGCAGAGAUGGCAGUUUGGGGAUGUGUCCCUGGGAUGUAUUCACUGCCCUCUGAUAUGACAGCUGGCACUGCACUGUUCAACCACCAGCCACUGGGGUAUUUUUUAAUAAAUUAUUCCCUGUUGUAACUGACAAUUAGUGCUUAUGAAGGAAAAUUGGAAGAUCUUUAAGAACCAGUUUGCCACCCAAGUGGUACCACUGUUUAAAUCUUGAUGUUAAAUGUUCCUUUAGAUAUCUCUGUGCAUAAACUUUGGUGUUUACAUAGUUGUUAUUCUACUGUACAUACAAUUUUGUCCUUUUUGUACUUAACAUAUAAACUUUUUUUGCCAUGUUAUCAGUCGUAAACAGGAUUUUAUGGUUUACAGUCUCUUCCAUUGAGUUUCUGUAACAUUCCCUGGCUCACUUCUGACAGAAUGGGUUGUUCCCAUGUCCUGGUUCCGGUGGAAAUGCUUGGCCUCUGGGCAACAGAAACACACACCCCUCCCAGGCACAGUCCCUUAACUCCAAAUGCCAAUUAAAUUACCACAGGAGCAGUAAUGAGUGACUAGAAAAGGUAAGCUUGACUCAACCCCAUUCUUCAGAGACCACCUCACUGCCUGCCUUGUGUCCCACACAGUUUACCUCAAACUUGGAUCAGAUUGGCAAGCUCUUGUUAGAAUAAAUUGCAUUCUCCC